CAGCAGCCGCGGGAAUACGAAGGGGGCUAGCGUUGUUCGGAAUUACUGGGCGUAAAGGGCGCGUAGGCGGCCAUUCAAGUUAGAUGUGAAAGCCCUGGGCUCAACCUAGGAAUUGCAUUUGAUACUGUUUGGCUUGAGUUCGGGAGAGGUGAGUGGAAUUCCCAGUGUAGAGGUGAAAUUCGUAGAUAUUGGGAAGAACACCAGUGGCGAAGGCGGCUCACUGGACCGACACUGACGCUGAGGCGCGAAGGCGUGGGGAGCAAACAGGAUUAGAUACCCCCGUAGUCCCUGUCUCUUAUAC
rnacentral:rRNA from 1 species